ACGCACGCUGGCGGCGUGCUUAACAACUGCAAGUCGAACGGAAAGGCCCCGCUUUUUUGGGGUGCUCGAGUGGCGAACGGGUGAGUAACACGUGAGUAACCUGCCCUUGACUUUGGGAUAACUUCAGGAAACUGGGGCUAAUACCGGAUAGGAGCUCCUGCUGCAUGGUGGGGGUUGGAAAGUUUCGGCGGUUGGGGAUGGACUCGCGGCUUAUCAGCUUGUUGGUGGGGUAGUGGCUUACCAAGGCUUUGACGGGUAGCCGGCCGGAGAGGGUGACCGGCCACAUUGGGACUGAGAUACGGCCCAGACUCCUACGGGAGGCAGCAGUGGGGAAUAUUGCACAAUGGGCGGAAGCCUGAUGCAGCAACGCCGCGUGCGGGAUGACGGCCUUCGGGUUGUAAACCGCUUUCGCCUGUGACGAAGCGUGAGUGACGGUAAUGGGUAAAGAAGCACCGGCUAACUACGUG
rnacentral:rRNA from 1 species